AAUCUGGGUGACUGGGUGAUAAAAAAAAAUAAAAGAAAAAAAAAACCUCGAAGGAACGAUUGAACGAGAAACCAUCAAAUGAUCAGAAGGCAUCCUACUAAAGCUUCACAGGUUUUAUAACUUUUAUCAUGGUGAAGAAAAGAACAAUUGAUCAAUUUUAUAAGCGAAAGGAAGUUGUUGUUCAUGACCAACAACCACAACAAGAAAGAGAUGAUGUUCAUAACUUGCAACCAGAGUUGCCUAAUGAUAAUCUUGUGGACGAGUCUCCUAGAGUUGAACAUGAAGAAACUGAUCUUAAUUCAUUGAUUCGAGAUCCUGGGUCCCGACCUUCGAUCUCAAGUUGUGUAGAGGCUUGCAAGAAACUGGGAGGUGUGAAAACUAUGAAUUGGUGGACAGAUUGAUUCGUCUUAUAUUAACACUCCCGGUUUCAACUGCAACUAGUGAAAGAGCCUUCUCUGCAAUGAAAAUUGUGAAAACAAGACUACGUAGUACCAUGAGUGACGAAUUUCUGAAGAGUUGUUUGAUUCUUUACAUCGAACGAGAGAUUGCUAUCAUUUUCUACCGAUCAGUUAAUAGAUGCUUUUGAUUCUUUUAAAGGAAGACGUGUCAAACUGCGGACGCACAAGCAGGUUGCCUCGUGAAGAAAUGGACUGGCUACUUUGAACAUUCACAACUUUUGAAGAUUGUUUUUUUGCAAAACUUACGUAUCUAUUAUCUUGUCGAUGAACUAUUGGAAGGGUUGCGUUGAAAGAUUUUCACUUUGGGCGACUGCUGGACCAAAUGUUCAUCAACGAGCAUAGUCUUAUGGAAAUAUAUAAAUUGAUAAUUUUUUGUUUCUACUUUUUUCUAGCUUAUUACUUUGUUUGAUUUGGUAUCAAAUGUAUUAAUGCUUAGUUUCGAUGUAGAUAUCACCUCUACUUGUUUUA